rnacentral:rRNA from 1 species
GACGAACGCUGGCGGCGUGCCUAAUACAUGCAAGUAGAACGCUGAAGGAGGAGCUUGCUUCUCUGGAUGAGUUGCGAACGGGUGAGUAACGCGUAGGUAACCUGCCUGGUAGCGGGGGAUAACUAUUGGAAACGAUAGCUAAUACCGCAUAAUAGCAGUUGUUGCAUGACAACUGUUUGAAAGGUGCAAUUGCACCACUACCAGAUGGACCUGCGUUGUAUUAGCUAGUUGGUGGGGUAACGGCUCACCAAGGCGACGAUACAUAGCCGACCUGAGAGGGGGAUCGGCCACACUGGGACUGAGACACGGCCCAGACUCCUACGGGAGGCAGCAGUAGGGAAUCUUCGGCAAUGGACGGAAGUCUGACCGAGCAACGCCGCGUGAGUGAAGAAGGUUUUCGGAUCGUAAAGCUCUGUUGUAAGAGAAGAACGAGUGUGAGAAUGGAAAGUUCACACUGUGACGGUAUCUGACCAGAAAGGGACGGCUAACUACGUG